CACGAAACUAGGCGAGCUACCCUGGUACGUAUUGUAGUGUUUAGUAUGUAGCAUAAUAUGGAAAGAUACCAUGGUAGGGGUGAAAGGCUUCCAAGUCUAGGGAUAUCUUGAUGACUUUGAAAAGUAUUUAGUACGAUGACGAUUUAUGAGUGAUAAGGCUUAUAAAAAAUAUGUAAAAUGAUUGUGAAAAGUGCGACAUAGUUUAACCGCUAGUACGUCCCGUGUUUCAAUAUCCUUGUUAUGCCUUAGUAGAAAAUAAAAGUCGAUAAUAAACAUUGCGAAUUAUACAUAAUGUUAGUAUCAGUAAUUUAGUUAUCGCUGAUGAACUCGGCAAUAUUUCUUUCACCUGUUUAUCAAAAACAUAGCCAAUUGCAGGUAUUAUUGGUCCGUUCUGCUCAAUGUAUAUAAAUAGCCGCAGUACCCUGACUGUGCAAAGGUAGCAUAAUCAUUUGGCUUAUAAUUGAAGUCUAGUAUGAAUGAAUACAUGGGGGAAAACUCUAUUGGCGAUAUAACGUAAACUUACUUAGUGGGUGCAAAUACCCACAGCCAAAUAUAAGACGAGAAGACCCCAGAAAUUUUCAUGAAUUAGUAUAACAAAGUUUUUGUUGGGGCAACAUAGUAGCAAUUAACCUACAGUAAAUACACGACAUGUUUUAGCAAGUUGAAAUUACUCUGGGGAUAACAGCGUAAUUCUACAGAGUUUGCGACCUCGAUGUUGGACUAGGGAGCAGAUGUUCAGAA
rnacentral:rRNA from 1 species